UACGUAGGGUGCAAGCGUUGUCCGGAAUUAUUGGGCGUAAAGAGCUCGUAGGCGGUUCGUCACGUCGGCUGUGAAAUCCCGAGGCUCAACCUCGGGUCUGCAGCCGAUACGGGCAGGCUAGAGUGUGGUAGGGGAGACUGGAAUUCCUGGUGUAGCGGUGAAAUGCGCAGAUAUCAGGAGGAACACCGGUGGCGAAGGCGGGUCUCUGGGCCAUAACUGACGCUGAGGAGCGAAAGCGUGGGGAGCGAACAGG
rnacentral:rRNA from 1 species